ensembl:snRNA U6 U6 spliceosomal RNA
GUGCUCGCUUCAGCAGAACAUAUACUAAAAUUCAAAUAAUACAGAGAAGAUUAGCAAGGCCCCUGCGCAAGGAUGACACACAAAUUCAUGAAGCAUUCCAUAUUUUU